rnacentral:rRNA from 1 species
CGUGCUUAACACAUGCAAGUCGAACGGAGUUUUAACGGAAGUUUCGGAUGGAAGUUUAAGAACUUAGUGGCGGACGGGUGAGUAACGCGUGGGUAACCUGCCUCAUACAGGGGGAUAACAGUUAGAAAUGACUGCUAACACCGCAUAAUAUAGUGAAACCGCAUGAUUUUGCUAUCAAAUAUUUAUAGGUAUGAGAUGGGCCCGCGUCUGAUUAGCUAGUUGGUGGGGUAAAAGCCUACCAAGGCGACGAUCAGUAGCCGGCUUGAGAGAGUGACCGGCCACAUUGGGACUGAGACACGGCCCAAACUCCUACGGGAGGCAGCAGUGGGGAAUAUUGGACAAUGGGGGAAACCCUGAUCCAGCGAACCGCCGCGUGAGUGAAGAAGUAUUUCGGUAUGUAAAGCUCUAUCAGCAGGGAAGAUAAUGACAGUACCUGACUAAGAAGCCCCGGCUAACUACGUGCCAGCCGCUGC